ensembl:lncRNA MUC20-OT1 MUC20 overlapping transcript
CCACCUGCUACUCCUCUCUGAGCUACUUUUCCAGGUUCCACAGGGAGAGGUUCAGCUGUCCGUGGUAGACAUGAGGGUAGAGAAUGAGGUGGUUGGGUUCCACUUACCUUUCUAUCAUCUUGCAGUAUGGAUGUCUCUUGACUGGUACCGUGUAGACUUUUGAGGGCACACAGGAGUCUGCAGAGAGAUACUGGGGACAUUGAGCAGCAGCAGUGGGGUUGGGAGGCAGAAAUGAGGACAGGAACAUUUACCUUGUGUUUCUCUCAGCUUCUCAGAUGACCAAGAUGGUGCUGCAGAUGGUGCUGAGGAUGGAGAACCCACCAAGCCCCGCUAGGAGCCACCUAGACUGGAUGCAGAGCAUGGCCCCAGCACCCGCAGAGCAGACACUGCGAUGACAACGGACGACACAGAAGUGCCCGCUAUGACUCUAGCACCGGGCCACGCCGCUCUGGAAACUCAAACGCUGAGCGCUGAGACCUCUUCUAGGGCCUCAACCCCAGCCGGCCCCAUUCCAGAAGCAGAGACCAGGGGAGCCAAGAGAAUUUCCCCUGCAAGAGAGACCAGGAGUUUCACAAAAACAUCUCCCAACUUCAUGGUGCUGAUCGCCACCUCCGUGGAGACAUCAGCCGCCAGUGGCAGCCCCGAGGGAGCUGGAAUGACCACAGUUCAGACCAUCACAGGCAGUGAUCCCAGGGAAGCCAUCUUUGACACCCUUUGCACCGAUGACAGCUCUGAAGAGGCAAAGACACUCACAAUGGACAUAU